UGGGGAAUAUUGGACAAUGGGGGAAACCCUGAUCCAGCAAUGCCGCGUGUGUGAAGAAGGCCUUAGGGUUGUAAAGCACUUUCGGUCGGGAGGAAUAUCCUAGUGUUAAUAGCGCUAGGGGUGACGCUACCGACAGAAGAAGCACCGGCUAACUCUGUGCCAGCAGCCGCGGUAAUACAGAGGGUGCAAGCGUUAAUCGGAAUUACUGGGCGUAAAGCGCACGUAGGCGGAUAAGUAAGUUGAAUGUGAAAUCCCCGGGCUCAACCUGGGAACCGCAUUCAAAACUGCUUGUCUAGAGUAUGGUAGAGGGGAGUGGAAUUUCCGGUGUAGCGGUGAAAUGCGUAGAUAUCGGAAGGAACACCAGUGGCGAAGGCGACUCCCUGGACCAAUACUGACGCUC
rnacentral:rRNA from 1 species